UACGUGCCAGCAGCCGCGGUAAUACGUAGGGUGCGAGCGUUAAUCGGAAUUACUGGGCGUAAAGCGUGCGCAGGCGGUUAUAUAAGACAGAUGUGAAAUCCCCGGGCUCAACCUGGGAACUGCAUUUGUGACUGUAUAGCUAGAGUACGGCAGAGGGGGAUGGAAUUCCGCGUGUAGCAGUGAAAUGCGUAGAUAUGCGGAGGAACACCGAUGGCGAAGGCAAUCCCCUGGGCCUGUACUGACGCUCAUGCACGAAAGCGUGGGGAGCAAACAGGAUUAGAUACCCUGGUAGUCCACGCCCUAAACGAUGUCAACUGGUUGUUGGGUCUUCACUGACUCAGUAACGAAGCUAACGCGUGAAGUUGACCGCCUGGGGAGUACGGCCGCAAGGUUGAAACUCAAAUGAAUUGACGGA
rnacentral:rRNA from 1 species